GACGAACGCUGGCGGCGUGCUUAACACAUGCAAGUCGAACGGGCCCGCCCCUGUUUUUGGGGGUGGGUUGAGUGGCGAACGGGUGAGUAUCACGUGAGUAACCUGCCCCCUGCUCCUGGAUAACUGCUUGAAAGGGCGGCUAAUACGGGGUGUGCCGGCUGGUCCGCAUGGGCCUGGUCGGGAUAGUUUCAUCUUCGGGUGUUUCGGUGGGGGAUGGGCUCGCGGCCUAUCAGCUUGUUGGUGGGGUGAUGGCCCACCAAGGCGGUGACGGGUAGCCGGCAUGAGAGGGUGGGCGGCCACACUGGGACUGAGACACGGCCCAGAGUCCUGCGGGAGGCAGCAGUGGGGGGUAUUGCACAAUGGGCGGAAGCCUGAUGCGGCGACGUCGCGUGAGGGAUGGAGGCCUUCGGGUUGUGAGCCUCUUUCUCCGGUGGUGAAGGCCCUGUCCGUUGCGGCGGGGUUGACGGUAGCCGGGUAUGAAGCGCCGGCUAACUACGUG
rnacentral:rRNA from 1 species